rnacentral:rRNA from 1 species
AACGAACGCUGGCGGCAGGCCUAACACAUGCAAGUCGAGCGCCCCGCCAGGGGAGCGGCGGACGGGUGAGUAACGCGUGGGGAUAUGCCCUUUGCUACGGAAUAGUCUCGGGAAACUGGGGGUAAUACCGUAUACGCCCUUUGGGGGAAAGAUUUAUCGGCGAAGGAUUAGCCCGCGUUGGAUUAGGUGGUUGGUGGGGUAAUGGCCUACCAAGCCGACGAUCCAUAGCUGGUUUGAGAGGAUGAUCAGCCACACUGGGACUGAGACACGGCCCAGACUCCGACGGGAGGCAGCAGUAGGGAGUCUUAGACAAUGAGGGCAACCCUGAUCUAGCCAUGCCGCGUGAGUGAUGAAGGCCUUAGGGUUGUAAAGCUCUUUCAGCUGGGAAGAUAAUGACGGUACCAGCAGAAGAAGCCCCGGCUAACUCCGUG